UUCUUGUUGGAUGUGAUAUCACGAUACCAUGAGUCUGGGUACCUGAGGGAGAGAGCACACUCAGAAGGGUCCUACCCAGUGCCAGGAAGAGGGACUGCUGCAGAGUCCACAAGGAAUCUAGGCAGACGGGCCUCCCUGUGCCUUCCACCUUCAAUCCAUCAGGAGAAGAUAAUACUCUCUGUCAGACCAUCUCUAUACUACAGUUCGUACUUCAGGGAACCCAAUUCACCAUGGGCGUUUCCAUCCCGAAUCUGAAGGCUUCCGUGACAGAAGACCCAGGUCAAAUAAAAUGGUUAUUCUCUUCUCCCGCUAA
rnacentral:lncRNA from 1 species